AAUGGAAUAAAUAUAUUAUACACGUAUACCUACCUACUUUAAAUGAUUUUUACGAUAAACAUUUAGUAAGUUUAAUGAAUGUAAGAAAUGAUUUUGUAUUAUUUAACAAUGAAUAAAACAUUGUAAAAAAUUAUAAACACAUUUAAUUGAUAAAUACUAAACCUGUGAAUUAAUUGACGAUAAACGAGUACAUUAUAGUAACGUAUUUAUUGUAUUGAGCUCUUGAGAGUUGAGAUGUUAAUACUUUAAUUAUUAUUAUAUGCGAUCGAUCUGUUAUAAUAUGCUUACGAAAUAUUUAUGUUUAUUGGUGUAUACGAAUGGACAAAUUUGACAAAAAAUUACAUCACUUGUACGCAUUUUUCCGUUAGAUAAGUCAGCACUAUGAUUUUCAAUAUUUUAUUUUUAUUAUUUCAUUUUGUCUGUUCUCAGUGAAAUUGAGUGAAUUAUUGCCGAUUACAUUAGCCGUAAAUCAAUCAAAAAAUAUAUAUUAUUAGAAACAAAGGAAUUACAAUUAAACGAAAACUGCUGGCGUUCCAAAACUAUUACCUUUUCUGACUUAUUGGCUGACGUACUUCGAGUCCUGAGGGUGGAGAUAUUAAGACACACGGUAGUUAUGUACAUAUAUCUGUAUAUUUUGGCCGUUAGAUGGACGGAAACAAUAUAUAAUUCUCGUUAUACUGUCAUCUCGACUAUCUCGAUGGACAUUCACGGGCACCGGUGAUUCAUUUAAGGUGAUACCCCAGUUUUAUUUCGAACGCGUCAGGAAUAUUAUGAUAUAAUAAAUAAUAAAAAACACCUGAGGAUCAGAACGCAGAUGCAAACGAUCAUGUAAGAUUGGAGCGUGCCGAUGGACGCCAUGUCGACGAGCUGCUCGAGAUUGAAUACGGUCGACAACAGUCCUGCAGAGAAACAAUUAAGAUAUUGUAUAAGUGCUCUAGGACAAUGCUUCCCAAAUACCUACAUAAUUCAUUUCAUGUAAAGCGAUAGGUAACGUCUUUAUGUAUCUUUAGCGAUUAUCGGACAUGGUCUUACCGUUACUCAAACAAAUGAACAACUAAAUUAGUCAAUUGAACAUAUAUCGUGAUCGCAUUUGUUUCCGGUACCAGUAUAAUAUGAUUAUUGUUAUUUGGUUAUUUUUUAAAGAGUUUUCGAUAAUUUUCAGGACACUUAAAUUCGAGACCUACUCAUAACUAUAUCAAAAUAAACCGAUUGCGUGUUGGACGUUCCCC